GUGGUUGUUCUCCAGCCGCUUCACCUGUGCGCACUGCCUAUCCAUGCGCUCUUUGACCGCGCGCGUGUGGGCGCUGACCUUGCGGGACUUCUCCAGCAGCUUGCUCACCGUGUUGCUGGUGGAGGCCUGGUACUUGGAGAGCUUGGUGAGGUCAUUCUGGAUGCCCUUCACGGAGCCCUCCAAACUGAUCUGUCGCUGCUCCAUCUUGUGCUGGUUCUCCUGCACAGCGUCUAGCAUGUUCACCAGCUUGUCCAGGAGCGUGAGCACCGUGACUGCGUUCACCUGCAUUGUGGCUCUGGAGACCUGGAAGCACUGCUAACUGUUCUCUCGAUUUUCUGACGCUCGGCCACAUCAACCUGUCAUACUAGUUGUGAGGAGAAGUCAAGGACAGUGACACAGCCAGCCAGUCUGAGGCAUUUUCCAUCAUCCUGAAGGAGUUGCCCUAUCCUGCUUUUCACUGGAGGGGGCAUGGAUGGAUCUGGAAUGUAUAAUUGGAGUAGACAUUCUCAGCAGCUGGCGGAAACCCCGCAUUGGUUCCAUGACAUGUGGAAUGAAGGCUACGAUGGUAGGAAAAGAUAAGUGGAAGCUGCUAAAACUGCAUUUACCUUGAAAAAUAUUAAACACAAAGAAACACUACAUUCCUGGAAAGACUGCACCAUCAAGGACUUGAAAGACUCAGGGACGGGGUGAUUCUUAUGUUCUCACUCAACUUGCCUGUGCGGGAGUCAGAUGAAUCUUGGAGAAUGACAGUGGAUUAUUAUAAGCUUAACUAGGUGAUGACUCCAAUUGCAGCUGCUGUACUGGAUGUGGUUUCAUUGCUCGAGCAAGUUAAUACAUCCCCUGGUACCUAGUAUGCAGCUAUUGAUCUAGCAAAUGCCUUUUUCUCCUUACCUCUCAAUAAGAACAACCAGAAUCAGUUUGCUUUUAGCUAGUAAGGUCAGCAAUAUAGCUUCACUGUGCUGCAUCAGGGGUAUGUUAAUUCUCUACCACUAUGUCAUAAUUUAGUUUGCAGGAAUCUUUAUCACCUUUCCCUUCCAAAAGAUAUCACACUAGUCUAUUACACUGGUGACAUGAUGCUGAUUUGACGUAGUGAGCAAGAAGUAGCAACUACUCUAUAGUUAUUGGUAAGACAUUUGCAUGUCAGAGAAUGAAUUUUCAAGAAAAUUCAGUGAAAUUUCUAGGGGUCAGUAUGUGGAGCAUGUGAGAUAUUACUUCUAAGGUAAAGGAUAAGUUGAUGUAUUUGCCUCACCUUCAACCAUAAAAGAGGAACAAUGCCUAGUGGGCCUCUUUGGAUUCUGGAGGCAACAUACUCCUUAUUUGAGUGUGUUACUCUAGUCCAUUUACUGAGUAAACUGCUUUUCACUAGUUUUCAGUGAGGCCCAGAACAAGAAGAGACUCUGCAACAAGUCUAGGCUGCUGUGCAAGCUGCUCUGUCACUUGGGCCUUAUGAUCCGGUAGAUCCAAUGGUGCUUGAAGUGUCAGUGGUAGACAGGGAUGCUGUCUGGAGCCUUUGAUGGGCCCCCUAUUGGUGAAUCACAGUGCGGAUCCUUAGGAUUUUGGAACAAAGCCCUGAUAUCUUCUGUGGAUAACUACUCUCCUUUUGAGAAACAGUUCUUAGUUUGCUACUGGGCCUUAGUAGAGACUUAAUACUUAACUAUGCACUACUAAGUUACUAUUUGACCUGAGCUUCCCACCAUGAACUGAGUGUUGUCUUACUCGCAAAGCCAUGAAGUUGGGCAUGCACAGCAGCACUCCAUCAUCAAAUGGAAGUACUUUGUAUGAGAUUAGGUCAAAUCAGGCUCUUGGCACAAGUAAGUUACAUGAAAAGAAGGGGCCUAAUUGUCAUGGCACCCACUCCUAUUACAGGACCUUCUCUCUCCCGCCUGCUUCUGUGGCCUCACAGGGGAGCUCCUUGUGAUCAGUUGAUAGAGGAAAAAAGACUCAGGCCUGAUUUACAGAAGAUUCUGCAUGAUAUACAGCUACCACCUGAAAGUGGGCAGCUGCAGAACUGCAGACCUUCUCUGAAACAUUCCUCAAGGACAAUGGUGAAGAAAAAUCCUUCCAGUAGGCAGAACUUCAAGCAGUGCACCUGAUUGUUCACUUUGCUUGGGAGAAAAGGUAGGACAUGUGACUGUACACUGAUUCAUGGACUGUGGCCAAUGGUUUGGUAGAUGGUCAAGGACUUGAAAGGAACAUGACUGGAAUAUUGGUGAGAAGGAAAUUUGGGGAAGAAGUAUGUGGAUAGAUCUCUCUCAAUGGGCAAAAAACCAUGAAGAUAUUUGUGUCCCAUGUAAAUAUUUACAAAAGGAUAACCUCAGCAGAGGAAGACUGUAAUAAUAAAGUGGAUAGAAUAGCCCAUUCUGUAGCUACCACUCAGCUUCUUUCUCCAGCCAACCCUGUUCAUUGCCCAAUGGGCUCAUGAACAAAGUGGCCAUUGUGGCAAAAAAGGGGGGUUAUGCAUAGGCUCAGCGACAUAGACUCCUACUCACCAAGACCAACCUGGCUACAGCCACCACUGAGUUCUUAAUCUGCUAGAAGCAGAAACCAACACCGAGUCCCUAAUAUGGCACCAAUCCUCAUGGUGGCCAGCCAGCUCCUGGGUGGCAGGUUGAUUAUAUUGGACUGCUUCCAUCAUGGAAGAGACAGCAGUUUGUCCUCACUGAAAUAGAUAUUUACACUGGAUAUACAUUUUUCUUCCUGCACACAAUGCUUCUCCCAAAACUACCAUCCAUGGACUUACGGAAUGCUUUAUCCACCAUCUUGGUAUUCCACACAGCAUUGCUUCUGACUAAGGAACUUACUUCACUGCCAAAGAAGCAUGGCAAUGGGUAUAUGCUCAUGGAAUUCCCUGGUCUUACCAUGUUUCCUGCCAUCCUAUAGCUGCUGGCUUGAUAGAGUGGUGGAAUGGUUUUUUGAAAUCACAGUUGUAAUUCCAGCACUUUGGGAGGCUGAGGUGGGUGGAUCACCUGAGGUCAGGAGUUCGAGACCAACCUGACUAAUAUGGUGAAACCCUGUCUCUACUAAAAAUACAAAAAUUAGCUGGGCAUGUGGCAUGCACCUGUAGUCCCAGCUACUUGGGAGGCUGAGACAGGAGAAUUGCUUGAACCCAGGAGGUGGAGGUUGCAGUGAAUCAAGAUCAUGCCGCUGCACUUCAGCCUGGGUGACGGAGCGAGACACUGUCUCAAAGAAAAAAAAGAAAAAAGAAAAAAGAGAAAGAAAUCACAGUUGUAACACCAGGAAUUUCUAUUCUUACAGCAGAAAUAGACAUUUGUAAUAAGCUUUGGCUCACAGUCAGGGUUGCCACUGCCACUGCAAAACAGGCAAAUUGAAUUGAAGCAGCUAAAAAAACCUCAGGUUUUGGUGAAGGUAUGUCUCUUCUAUGCAACCUUAAGUCUAGUAACAUUCUCAUCUGAUUGGAUGCAUGCAUAACCAUGAUAAGAAUAAUUCAAUACCUCUGUGAAAAACAAACAAAUGAAAACUACACAGUCUUGAAGGGGACUACAAAGAAAUAUAUUUUAUAUACUGAGUGAAAAAGAACUUCAAGGGCAUCAUACACAAUGUAGGUGUGUUAGUGGUGAAUUUCAUCCCAAACUGCCACUUAAAGUCUUUGUUUUCCCAUUAAAACAUGUAAAAUUCUAUCCUGAAUAUAUAAGAUAGAUACAUUUGGUCUAUGUGUGUGUGUGUGUGUGUGCAUACUCACAAUAUACACUUAUAUACACACAUAAUUUAUAAGAGAAGACCCUGAGUGGUAGUUAAGAGCAUGGAGUCUGCCUGGCUGGCACAAAUUGUGGCUCUCUCACUUGCUGUUUGGGUUUGGGAAGUUUGAUUAACCUGUCUGUGCCUCAGUUUUCUGUUUUGUAACAUGAGAAUUACUAGUGUAUUACAUUCAUAAGACUGUGGUGAGGAUUAAAUGGCUCUAUAAAUCUAGACAUUUAGGAUGGUGUCUGACACGCUUUGGAAAGGUUUGUCACACUUUGAUAACUACAAUGAGAUUCCUAUUAUUAUCUUUGAGACUGGGAUGUUACACUGGGACAUCGGAACAUGGAGCAGGUAUUCCCUGAGUGUGGAGACAGGAAUCGCUGACUCAGAAUAUGCUAGAAACUGAGACAUGAAAACUCAAGAAGAAAUAGAGAGUGAGUUUAAUGAGUGAGCACCAAAAGUUAGGCAACCUACCAUUAACAGGGUGUGGCCUGCAACAAGAUUUCAAAAGCAAGCAAAGAUUUAAAAAGCAAGUAAAGGCCAGGUGCGAUGGCUUAUACCUGUAAUCCCAGCACUUUGGGAGGCUGAGGCGGGAGGAUCACAAGGUCAGGAGAUUGAGACCAUCCUGGCUAACACGAUGAAACCCCAUCUCUACUAAAAAUACAAAAAAUUAGCCGGGCGUGGUGGCGACCGCCUGUAGUCCCAGCUACCCGGGAGGCUGAGGCAGGGGAAUGGUGUGAACCUGGAAGGCGGAGCUUGCAGUGAGCUGAGAUAGCGCCACUGCACUCCAGCCUGGGCCACAGGGUGAGACUCCAUCUCAAACAAACAAACAAAAAAAGCAAGUAAAAAGAGAAACAAGUAAUGAAAACUGUUAAGUUAGUGGUAGAAAUACAAUCUGUACUUAGGAGUUUUGUUUCCUUUGUUCUGUUGCCAUGCAGUAUUUUAUGAUUUUGAUAUAAAAUAGAAAUUACAUGAUUUAAACUGCAUGGCCUAAUAAAUAUUGUAAAAACAAAUAAAACACAUUGAAGUUCAGAAUUCUUUAUCCCCAUAUUUCUUGGUAUUCUACACCAGAUCUGGGUUUGUAGCUGUCAUAACCUAAUUAAGUUUCAUUAAUCACUGUGAUAGCUAGUACAGUUGAGGUAUGGAUACAGAGAAGAAUUUAAAAGAUUCUCUAGAAUUUAUGUGAAAACCCAUUUUUUUAAAUAAAAAAGGUAGGCUAGCAUCACAGAAGACUCAAGGUUUUAAAGACUAUUGUUUAUUUUUAUUUUUCAAUUUUUUUUAUUUUUUACUUUCAUAACCCUCCUUUUUCUGGAGGGGUGGUUAGUUGUUGUUGGUGGUUGUUAUUAUUUGACUAUUGCAUAUUAGAAGUGUCAUUGUUAUUCAUUUGUCUUCCUGAGUAACAUUUGAAGCUUUUAACUUCAGUUUGCAGGUUGGAUUACCGGCAGCUACUGCAGAGAGAAGUUUGGAUUGCAAAUAUGGCAUUUGUUGACCCUGGGCAUUGUUUAAUGCCCUGUAUAGACCAUCGUACAGACCAUGUCAGAAUUCCUAGUCUUUUACUUCUAAAUUUUAUUACAUCGUGUGAAAUUUAGAAAAAUAUAAGCUGUUUAUUUUCUUGAUCAAGAUAGGUGAAGAAAUACAGAAAAGAAAGAAAUAAUGAAAGCAAACCCCAACUUUCAGAUUUGGACACACCUUUGCUAAAAACUAUCAACAUUUUCCCCUUGAAAUUCUGAGUGGAAAGAUAUGUGCUUCCCUAAGUCAGGAGCUGUAUGUGCACUCCCCACCCCGAAACAUUUUUUGGGCAAAUGGAAUCAUUAAAGGAAUGAGAGGUAUCUACUCUUCAGUUCCCACUCAUUGACACAAACAGAAAACGCUACUGCAGCUUUCAGAGGUGACAGCUACUGUCUUCAAGGUGGAGAUAAGAGGUAAAUGGAGGGAGGUCAUACCUCAACUCCAGGAAUCUUGAAACUAAAAUGUUUUCUCAAAAAGCCAUGCACACAUUCAAAAAAAACCUUGGAUUUUCUAGAGCAGAUCUAUUAUCUUUUUUCUGGGUUUUUUUUUUUCAUUGUCUCCAUGAGUAAACUUAUAUUAGAAACCACACCUAAAAUUGGUUACCAGUUACACUUCUGGGGCCAGAAAGCAAAGGAAAUUAAUAAAAGGGAAACACCCUAGGGAGAAACUGAAUGAACUCUUAGAUGGCUAAAAUUUUGUGACUAAUCAGCAUCCUCUUUAAAUGUACCAUAUCCAAGUCUGACCUUUUUACUUAGUAGAAAAACAAUACAAAGAUUGCAGUUUCCAUUUUAAAUACAAUCUUUUUGUUCAAUUGUCAACCAGGAGUGGUUUUAAAUAAAACCACUUUCUGUAUUUUCCUCAGAGGUGUCUUAAUUUUCCCUAUCAAACUCACAAACCAAAGGUACUAAAGUCAGCAAGACCUAAUGUCUAAUUUACUUAUACCUAUGAUGAAAUCUAGUGCCAAGGAUCAUCCAUGGCCAUUGCCCCACUUCAAAUAUUCAUGAGCCUCCACAAUCCAAAAUGCAUUAAAUGUGGGCAGGUUGCCAAUAACACACAAUCUUCCUAAUGACAGGGAGCUUUCUCAGAUCAAAGGAGCAAGAUGUUAAAGACUUCAAACUAAACUGUCUUUGUAAGAGACACCCAGAAAAGAAAUGCCAGAUCCCACACCCUGUUUCAGUUAUGAAACAUCAAUGAAAUAGAGAAAAUAAUAAACAUUCAUUCAUUCCUCUUUGGAACUCAUUUUUUUGCAACAACUUUGCUUCUUUCCUUUCUUACCAUUGCACUCAAACACUAAGGAUGUUAUACACUAAAACUGGAAAAUAUUAUUAAUGCUUUCAAAGACAAAAUGACUACUAAGGAGUUAAUAGCAUUUAUGCCAAUAUGAUAUCGCUAAUGGAGCCUGAGUGGCAUGUAGAGAAUACUACAAAAGCAAAGUUAAAACAGGGAUAAAGAGCUAUGAAGAAUACAUAUAAAGCAAAUAUACCUAAUAAUUUAAGUUGUCCCUUUAUGUCAUUUGUCAUCUGGCUGCAUCUGCUCUUAAACCUGUGCACCUGUGCUCUGUUCCUGGAAAUAUUAGGCAUGCAGCCAAUUUCAUACCCAGCCAUUCCUAUGGUCAGACCCAGCUAUCAGUGCUUUUGUAUGUAUAUGUAUAUUAAAUCAAGUAUCAACCCCCGGGCUCUGAACUACUUCUGACUGACAGAACCAACAGAAAGUUCCAGGCUAAUUACUUCUAAGGAAUAGUUCCCAGAGAAAAGAGUUUCCACUGACCUACUUUGGACUUACUGAGAUAAUUUAUCAGGUAAGAUAAUUAAGGGAAUAUAAGGCUGUUUCUAAAGUGAAAUCAGAAAUAUUUGCUGAAAUCAUAAGUUGGUAUUCCCAAUGCUAUCAGAUGGAGCUUUAUUACUUUGCAAUGAGUCAAUUUUAUUAUAUUUGACUUAUUUAUAAGCCAUUCUUCUUCUUUAUAAAUUAUAUUUGGCAGGGUGUAUUUGAGAAUCCCUUUUAUGUAUAAAUGUAUUAGUUUUGACUGUUUUCAGUCUGGAUAUAAAGAGAAAUGAUAUUUUAAUCCCUUUCUUCUUCUCUUAACCCCUUCCCCAUAAACAGGCACACACAUCCCUUCACACAGGUGUUUCAGUUACUUUCGAAGUCCAUCCUUAAUGAAAGAUACCUCUAUUAUGAGAAUGGAUGUACUGGCGUGUGAAUAACUUGUCCUGUUGAAUUUUAACCCUCUUUUGGAAGCUUAAUCCUUUCCUACAUUUAAGUUAAUAUCUAUAACUGAAAAAGUAUUUUGUAGCAAUGGUCUUCCUUUCCUAUUGAGAGAACCUAAAAUUUUCUGAUUUUUUACAGCCUUGAUGUUCUCCAUGUAAGGAAAAUGCAAGAGAAAAACCUUGAAAUGAAAUCAUAGAACAUAAACUACGGUCUUAGAUUAGAUUACAAGCCAUCUGUUUUCUCAAAAUAAAAGCAUUAAAAUGUUAUGUCAUUAGUAUCAUAGUUUGUCAAUGCCAUCUAAUUAUUAUUUUUUCUCUUCUUCUUUUAUUCUCCUUCUCUUUCCCCUAUUUAUUAAUUUUUUUAUUCCCAUCUCCAGUGUGACUUUCUUCUGAACUCAAAAACUCAUCUAACUAUGAAAACAUGAUCAGCUAACUGUGUACUGACUUUUUUAUUCUAAUAAAGAUUUAUCUUCAUCUUGAAAGUACUUAAGAAUGUUUGAAUAACUAGAUUUAACCCAGUGGGAAAAUGCAAAAUAUUAACUUAUUAGGCCAGGGUUAAAGAAAGAUCAGGAAUUAAUUUUUCACCUUAGUUUCAGUAUUGUGGAUAUAGUAAGAACAUUAUUUCACGUCAGCAGUUAUUCACAUCUUGUUAUUAUUUCAUAAUGCAGGAUUGAGGAAAUCUGUACACAUAAAAUUAUAGUUUAGUUAGUGUUAAAGGCAAAAUAAAACAAUAAGUUGUACUCUUUGUUGCCACUUAUCAUAUGUAGUAUUUUAUGUUUGAGAGAACCUGGCCGUGGUGUCAUCCAAAAUCAAUAGCGUAUCAACGCUCCCUUGAUUUAGUGAAGGUUCUGUUGCCUAGUACUAUAGUCAGAUCACUCCGCUAUUGCUUCCUAUCUUACUUUACAGCCUCUUUCAUUCUAUGCCUAUUUAAUUUCACUCAUUGCUUUAUUCCUGUGUCCUUCAGCUGUUUCCAAUCUGCCCUUCAUGGCCAUGACUAAAUACAAUAUGUUAACAUACAAAGGUACGUUAACAUACAAGGUAUGUAAAUGAAAAUCAAUGCACUUGUCAUUUCAGCACAAUUCCUUAUUGCUUACAUUCAACAUUUUAAAUACAUUUUAUUUAAACACUAAUAACUUUUGUUCUUGUCUUGGAAGUCUAAUGAUCUUCUUGGCUCCCUGCCCCUACAGCCCUCUAAUCUUCACAGCCGUGGCCACUUAGCCCCCAUCUGGAGGUUCAGGCUUAUUCUGCAUCUUGGAGCUAAUCUUGUCCCUAUGCUGGGGGCAUACAAGAUAUCAUAGCCAAGAGCUAACUGAUUUAGCACUCAGCUUUGCUGCUGGUUUCAUUCUGAUCUUGUAAUUUAUUUCUCAGAUGUAGGCUAUGCUUCUCCCAGCAACUUGUAACCAAGGCUUGGCUUUGUAUACCAGUUGCAAUAUCUAUCCAGGCUUUCCUGUUUCAGUUCUUGACGAGUUUUUCUGAUUGACACCAAUUUCUCCAUGACUAAGGUUCUCCUUUGUCCUUCUCCUUGUCUCAUUUGUAACUGAAUUUAUUUUCUGAAGUACAGUUGCCAUGGCUGGGCCCUGUAGACAAUUGCUAAGCCUUUCUGGUGCCACUAUCCUUGCCCAUAUCUUUUCAUACUGCCUUCAUACCAUGGAUCUGAACUUUUGCAAGAAUACCAGGAUUAACCCCCUGCUUGCCUGGAUGUUUUCCCACUUCCAGCUGCAAACAUCUACCUAGACCAGCUCUAACCUUGCAGGCCUUGGAGAGUCACUGCAAAUAUGCUGCCUGCAAUCUGGCCAUCUCAUUGUCUAGACAUGACAGCAAAGACAUAUUGUUUCAAUUGCAUCUUUGGUUGAAUUGUUAUGCUAACAACCUUUAGUUACUUUCACCUCGUAUCUUCAUCUUGGUCCUGCCACUUUAACACUUUAAAACUCAGUUUUCUCUUUUUAGAGUAAAAUAAUAAUGGAAUCUACCUCCUAUGGCUAUUUUGAAGAUAGCUGAGAAAAAAAAACAGUAUACAAAUGGAUAAAACCCAUAGUAAACAACCAAUAAUUUUCAGCUGCUCUUAAAAGCUCAUGUCUUAAAUGUCUUGGAGAAUGGAGCUAUACCACUUAAAGAAUAAUCAUUAAAAAGAUAAGGAACUAGGAAAAUUAAAAUUCUUAAAAAAAAGAGACUCAUGUACAUUUUUUAAAAAGUGAAACAAUUUAUAAGAAAACAGCUUGAAAAAAUGAUGCUGAAAUACAGAUGCAGUCACCAAUAAACGUUAGAAACGAAAUAUUUUAAGGAUACAUUUCCUAUUUGUGUGUCUUGAUCUUAUGACUACAGAAGAGCCCUAAAGCAUUUAGGAAGGAGAAAGAGUCUUUGAAUUAGUCAUUUAUUUUAGAGUAGUAUUUCCAUAAUCCCCUGGGGGUCUUGUAGAAAAGUAAAAUUUUGAGUCCCACUUCUCUGAAAUUCUGAUUCAUUAAUUUUGGGGCAGAACUAAAUAACUGGUAUGUUUAAAAAAAUUCUCAAAGUACUUCUGGCAAUCUCUCAGUUUUGGGAACCACAAAUUCAUCAGCCAUUAAGGUCCCUAGGAUGUUUUUUAAAAACCAUACAUUUGUUGGCUGGGCGUGGUAGCUCACACCUGUAAUUCCAGCACUUUGGGAGGCCGAGGCGGGCAAAUCACCUGAGGUGAGGAGUUUGAGACCAGCCUGGCCAAUAUGAUGAAACCCCAUCUCUACUAAAAAUACAAAAAUUAGCCGGGCAUGGUGGUGCGCACCUGUAAUCCCAGCUACUCAGGAGGCUGAGACAGAAGAAUCUCUUGAACCCGGGAGGCGGAGGUUGCAGUGAGUUGAGAUCGUGCCACUGCACUCUAGCCUGGGCGACAGAGUGAGACUCCAUCUCAAAAAAAAAAAAAAAAAAAAAAAAAGAAGCGAGACUCUGUCUCAAUAAAAAACAAAAAACAUACAUUUGUUUACCUCAAGAUGGUCAAACCAGUGCAUAGACUCUCUCACUCGGCUCCUAGCUGCCCAUUGGCUAGAAGUGUUUGACAGGCAUGAAAACUCUACUGCUGUCUGAUUUUAGUAAUAGAUGUUUAUUUCACUUGGCUAUUCAAAGGCAGUGUUUACUUGUAAGUACGUAGUUUACCCUAAGAACCACCAUUUGCUCAGAUAGAAUCUUCACUUAAAAAAUAUUUUAAGUGCAGACUGUUUUACUACUGCCACAUAAUCUUGUCUUAAUUUUUUUUCUUCAUUUUCCUUAGAUGAAUUUUCCCCUCUACUCACAAAAGUUUGAUCAAAAUGAUGGUUAACUGCUCUAGGCAAGCACAGUCUACAUACUGCAGAAAAUAAAGAGCAGCCAGAUGUUUUCCUGAAAGGGGUGAGGUAUAUGUAAAAAAGAAAAAGAGAGAAAUAAUAGCAAUAAUAAUAAUAGGAAGAAGAUGAAGACAAAGGAGAAGGAAAAGAAGAGGAGAAGGGGAAAGACAGGGAGGGAAAGGAGGAGGAGGAGAAGAAGAGGAAGUGGAAGAGGAAGAAGAGGAAGAGGAGGAGGGGAGGAGCAGAAGAGAGAAUAGGAGAGGAAUAAAAAAAGGCUGCUGCUUUUCAUUAUCAUGACACAAAGAACUCCCUCAGAAGUUUGAGUUAUUCACUUUUCAAUGUGCUUAAGGUGGGACGAAUACAGUAGAAAGCUAAAAUGUUGGCACCCAUUCAAAAUAAUAAGUAUUAUUCAUUAUCUGAUGAACAUAUCUUUAAAAGAGUAGUUACUCCAUCAUCUUAGAAGUCAGAUUAGCAACUGGUAUGAUCUGAAUGUUGCUGUCCCCCUCCCCAGAUUCAUAUGGUGAAAUCCUAACCCCCAAGAUGAUAGUAUUGGGAGGUAGGACCUUUGGGAGGCGAUUAGGUUAUGGGGGUGAAGCCUUCAUGAAUGGGAUUAGUGCCCUUAUAAAACAGGCUCCACAGACCUCCCUUGCCCUUUUUGCCAUGUGAAGCUUCAGUAAGAAGAAGGCUAUUUUAAGAGAAAGUGAGCUCUUAUCAGACACUAAAUCUGCCUUGAUCUUGGACUUCUCAGCCUUCAUAAUGGUGAGGAAUAAAUUUCUUUUGUUUAUAAGCUACCCAGUUUAUGGUAUUUUGUUAUAGAAACCCAAACAGACUAAGUCUGAUCAUCUAUUGCUGCCUGAUGAUGCCUUUUAAAAAUCUUGAGAUAAAGUCUCACUCUGUGGCCCAGGCUGGAAUGCAAUGGCAUGAUCACAGAUCACUGUAGCCUUAACCUCCUGUGCUCAAGUGUUCCUCCCUCCUCAGCCUCCUGAGUACCUGGGACUACAGGCUAGUGUGACCAUACCCAGCUAAUUAUUAUUAUUUUUUUUUAUGGAGAUGUGGGUCUCACUUUGUGCCCAGGCUGAUCUCAAACAUCUGGCCUCAAGCGAUCCUCCUGCCUUGGCCUCCCAAAGUGCUGGGAGUACAGGCCUGCUGGGAGUACAGGCCUGAGCCAUCACACCUGGCUCUGAUGAUACUUUUUCAAAGAUAUUCUAGUAAAUAAGACUUUUUUUUCCCUCUAUAUCCUAACAUUGACAGUUUUGGGGGGCUUCAAUGAUAUUUUAGUGUGCCUUAUCAAGUAAUGCCAUGGAUAGCUGCUUGGCUGGCCCACCUCUUAAUCCAGUUCCAGAAAUUCCUUGCCCUCAUUUUUUUUUUCACUUGGGAACUGAAUAAGAAAAUAAAAAUGCAGACAAUGUCUUCUGUUGCAGAAUGGUUGAUGGUGUUAAAAAGAAAUUAAUCACUGUCAUUAUUUUGUCUAAAAGAAUAAAAACAGCAUAUUACCAGACAUCCUCGGCAUCUUCGUCACAUUCUGCACCAAACUGGCAAAUAUCACAGGUGGAUGUCUCCUUUUGACUAGUUUCUCCAGAGCCUUCAUGGACUGUAGGACAGAAAAACAGUAAAAGGAAUUCAGGUAAUUGUGCAUUAUAUCUACAACUCCAGGACAAUUCUUUAAUUAAAGCUGCUACUUUCCCAAUGGACCUGUCUGCUAUUGAAGCUUCAUAAGAAUGUCAAAAGCAACUCUUUUUUUUCCUCCAAUUUAAAGACAACUCUAACAAUAAUAUGUUUCCCAUUGGUAUGUGGUGAACACGUUUGCAUUUUGCAUGCUAAAUAAAACAAAAAGCAUGUGAGUUUAUUGGAUUCAUCAAAAUUAUUUGCCUAAUAGACCAUAUGAAAGAGUUAUUUAGUUAAAAGGGAGUUAAAUUUUCACCUCUCUGAGGGAGAGAUCUACUGUCUAUUUUACUGAAACAUAUUUAGCAUUUUCUUAUUUCCAGAUUAUGGACUUUUUCGUUCAAAGAAAGUUUUCAUGUAUAAUUUUUAAAAAUUUAGAUGAGCAUCCCUGAUUUAUUAGAUAAUGCCCCCAUUUUUCCCCUCAAACUGUUAAGUACUUAUAAGAAAAAGUAUGUUGAUUAUAAGUUUUUAGAAAAUAGUUUUUAGUUGUUUUUUACUGUCAUUUACUGAAUCUUACAUAAGUAUUGCAUAGAGCUAAUCACAGUGAUUCAUUGUUAGAGGGUUAUGAACAUAUAUUUUAUUUUAAAAAAAUACAUUGAGUCACUGUUUAGUCACUGAUAAUGAUGAUUGAUAUUGGUCCUUUUUUCCUCUAAAUUACAAGUGCAAAAAUAGGCAAUAUAUCACCUAAUUAUAAAGUUAGUCUUUCAAAAUCAGGAUACAACAGUGUAAAUUGAGAAAAAAUUUCUAGUAUUUGAGUACAAGGAAUGAGCAACACUUUCAAGGUGAAUUACCUGUUUUCCCAGUUAAAAAUAUAUAGUUGAAAGAAAAAGUAGUUUUAUUUUAAAAUGAAAAAUUACAAUCAACUAACUACCGCAUAGAUAAUAUAAUUCCAUACACAGAUCAUAUACAUUUAAAAACAGAUGUUUAAAUCAAGGGAACCUUUAAGAAGUGCACUUCUGCAAAAGAACAUUUUCAACAGAAAAAGAACAUAAGCAAUUAAUCCCAGCAUUAGUUCCUGUCUUUAUGAACAUUUUAAACAACAAAGACAACUUAUUAACAUGCACCUUGAACCUGUCAAAUCCAAUCUUACUUAUUUAGUUUUAAUAUGUUAUUUUCUCUUCAUUUCUUUUUUGUUUAUUGACAAGUUUUUCAUACUUAUAAAAUCAAAGAUCUUUAGUUUUCUUUAGUUUACUGCUGUUCAGAUGAGUAAUUUGAUUUACUCAAAAAAGGACAAGAAGACAUCCCUAGGAGAGUUAUCUGUUUUAUAACUCUUCCAAGAAAGGUGGAGGGAUUUAUUUUUUCUAAAACAUUUUUUUCCUGUGCUUGAUAGUCAACGCUUACAUUUUUAAAACAAUAUGAAUUAAACAGGUCAAUUUCAAUUGCAAAAGUAUUGAUGGUAUAGUUUUCAAUUUGGAUGUCUUAAAAAAAAAAAAAGGUGUCCUCCCCAAAAAGAAGAAGGAAUUUUAGACUCUGAUAAAAUAGACAGCACUUAUCUUAUUAUUCACUCUAUUACUUUAAUAUAGGCAAGACCAUUAGAGUGGACCAUGGGGAUAAGAGGGAAGCUGGGGCCUCAUCUCAGGGGAGACCGAACAGCUGAGGUCGGUCUCUUUAUUACUUUCUGAUUAUUAAUGCAACACAGAAGCUGCUAAUGGGAGAAAGCCUUUUAGUGUUAGCAAGAUUAGCAACUUCCAGACUAAAGCUUCCCAUUACUCAGGAAAGAUAAGAACACAAUGGCAAGGACCUUAAUGAACAGUGAUGGCCACUUAGAGACAGCCCCAUUUUCUUCAGCAGUUGAGAUCUUUGGUAAGGGAUUGACUGGAGGUCAUCCAGGGAUAAAUUUUGCUAUCUCAGCAGGACUAAUAAUAAUAUUUCUACCAGAAGUCAUAUUACAUUUCUAUAAAAGGGCAAUUAUUGGUAAAAUGGAGAUGUUUGGAAAUUCUCUGAUAAGGAGAAGUAAAUUCAAAAGAAGCAGUAGGAAUACCCCCAUCAAUAAGUAUUGUGUGAAUAAAGUGCCUUUCUAUGAAGUCACCCACAAAGAAAUAUAAAAUAAAGUAUUUCCAUAUUACUGGAAGCAUUGGUUUGCACCUUUGUAUAACAGUAAACAAACAAAUGACUUAAUCGGUGCACAACUUUCAUUUAACUUUUUAUACCAGUGGUUCUUAAAUAGGGUCUGAUUCAGAGGCUUUCGUGGAUCAUAUUUUUUUUUUUUUAAUAAAAAUGCCCUGAGAUAUCCUUGGAGAUACUGAAUUGGACUUAGUUUGGGGCUUCAAUAUGCCUAUUCUGAAUACAGACUAUCUCCGAGGAAGAGUCUCUGCCUUAAGCAAUACCAAGAAGACUUCAUCUGUCCAGAGCAUCCUCCUCAGGCAUCGUCUAGCACAGGGCUUCUGAUGCUUUAAAGUGCACAGGAAGCACCUAGAGGUUUAGUUAAAAUGCAGAUUCUGAUUCAUUAGGUGCGAGGUAUGGUCUCAGGUUCUGCAUUUCUUACAAGUCCCCAGAUGCUGCUGCUGUUGGUCCACAGACCACAUUUUGAGUAGAAAGAAUAGCACUGUGUUUUUCAAACCACAGUUCACAACCUUUUAGCGGGUGGUGAAAUUAAUGCAUCAUGACUUGCAUUUCUGUAAACAUGAAACAGACUAUACUAGUCUAGUAAGUACCAGACUCCAUCUUAUUUAGCAAGUACAUGUUUUAUUUUAUAACACAGCUUUAGUUAUACAUAUGUACGUACAUGCAGGGCUGCAAUAUAAAUUGCAAUUCUUAGUAAAGGUCACAGUCACAAAAGCUUGAAAACCACUGAUUUAGUACAUGUUACACUCUCAGUAAAUGUGUGCUAAAUUGGACUGUUGCUUCUUUCUCUUCUUUCUACAUUACCAGUAACAGGAAAGAUCAGUGCUUAUUUGCAUUCAUACACUGAUUAGGAAUAAAAUUCAUUUAUCUUAAAGUAUUAUCUUAACCAUGCAUUUAUAUUGUAAGCUCUUUUAUUUUGAGUUGCAAAGUAAGAUAAUUAUUUCCCAUUAUUUUAUAGAAACUUAGGUUUUGGCAAGCGAUUGAGGGAAAUUUGAGGGGUGAGGGAAAUGGAGCUACUGAAAGCACAUUAUCCCUAAUAUUCUGCCCUGCCAUUAAAAUGUAUUUAAUCAUUUUAGGGAGGUUUGGAAUCGGAGGGAUUAUAAGAAAUGAUUGAGUUACUUCUCUCUCAGAUCUCUCUGCCCUGGUAAUUUCUUCUGAAGGUUGAAUUCCAUCACCACCCUGUUCUUCUUGCUGGUCCUACAUGAUGAUGUGCCUGCUGAACCCAGUUCUCACUAUCAUGCUUCCUGUGACUCUUAUAAUAUUCUUAACCUGUUAUACCAUUUCUGAAAACAGUGAACUAUAAUGUUCAAACACAUGGGUAAGCAUUGUAAUUCACUCUGAUAAAAAUGCAAUUAAAAUUGACAUUCAGUGAAAUGAAGUCAUCCAUCAAUAUCUGCUGGUUCCCCAUUCACAAAUUCAGCCAAUCUUGAAUCAAAAUAUUCAGAAAAAAAGUACAAAAUAAUAAUGCAGAAAUAAAAAAUAAUAAAAAAAUAAAAAUAGAGUAUAACACAUUUUUACACAGCAUUUAUGUUGUAUUAAGUAUUACAAGUAAUCUAGAGAUGAUUUAAAUUAUAUGUGAGGAUGUGCAUAGGAUACAGCACUUUAUAUCAUCAGGGACUUGAGCAUCCACAGAUUUUGGUAUACUGUGGGGAGGGCGGGUCCUGGACCCAAUCCCCUGAGGAGACUGAGGGAUGACCAUGCACAGAUCUUAAGGGUACCUGAUAUGGUUUGGAUGUUUGUCCUCUACGAAUCUCAUGUUGAGGUGUAAUCCUCAAUGUUGGAGGUAUGGGUUGGUAGGAAGUGUUUGCAUCAUGGGGGUGGAUCCCUUAUGAAUGGCUUAGGGCCAUACCCUUGGUGAUGAGGGAGUUCUCACUCAGUUAGUUCACAUGAGAUCUGCUUGUUUAAGAGUCUGGGUUUGUUUAAGAGUCUGGAACCUCUUCGUUCUCUCUCUUGCUCCCCGUCUCGCCACAUGACACACCUGCUGCCACUAUGCAUUCUGCCAUGAGUAAAAAGCUCCCUGAGGCCUUACUGGAAGCAGAUGCCGGCACCAUGCUUCUCAUACAGCCUGGAGAACCAUGAGUCAGAAUAAACUUUUUUUCCUUAUAAAUUAUCCAGCCUUAGGUAUUCCUUUAGAGCAAUGCAAAUGGACUAACUCAGUAGCCUUUAAUUAGUGUUGAGUGCAUAUCAAGACACAUAGAACAACUCUAUCAUCCCAGAAAGUUCCCUGGUUACCCUUCCCAGGCAUUGCCCUACCACUACCCUGUCUAUAUAUGGGCAGAUGUCUGUCACCACAGAUUAGUUUUAACUAUUCUAGAACAUCACAUCAGUGGAAUAAUUCAAUAUGUAAUUUUUGUGUCAAGUUUCUUUCACUCAAAAUGAUAGCUUUUGAAAUUAAUUCAGGUAGUUGCAUGUAUCAAUAGUUUAUAUCUUUUUAUUGCUUAGUAUUCCAUUGAAUGAUACACUGCAGGUUAUUUAUUCAUUCUCCUGUUGAAGGAUAUCUGGGUUGUUUUCAGUUACUGACUGGAAAUUAUAAUUGGGUAUUUAUGAAUAAAGCUGCUGUACAAAUCCUUGUAAAAGACUUUGUGUACACAUAUGUUUUGAUUUCUCUUGAAUAAAUAACUAGCAGCAGGAUUACUGAAUCUUAAGGCAAAAAUUAUUGUUGGUGGUGGUUUUUAAAUUCUCCACCUGCAGGAAUGUUUAAUAUAUUUUGGGUACAAAUCUGUUGUCAGAUAUAUGUGUUGCAAUAUUUUUCUCGGUCUAUUUUGUUGACAGUGCUAACCUUGCAUUCCUGGGAAAAGUCAAACUUGAUCUUGGUAUAUUAACUUUUUAAUAUAUUGCUGGAUUUCAUUUGCUAAUAUUUUGUAGAGCAUUUUUGUAUCUAUUUUCUUGAGAUAUGCUGGCUGUAAUUUUCUUUUCUUGUAUUUUCCAUGCCUGCCCUUCAUGAAAUGGGCUGAAAAUUGUUCCCACGUCUGCUAUUUUAUGAGAGUUUGUGUCAGAGUAGUAUUAUUUUUUAUUCAUAAGUUAUAACUCACUAGUGAAACUAUCUAGUCCGGGAGUGUUUUUUUUUUUUGUUGUUGUUGUUGCUAUUCAAUUACAAAUUUGAUUUCUUUAUACAAGGCUAUUUCACUUUUUUUAUUUUAUUGAUUUCUGUUCUUUUUAUUAUAUCCUUGUGCUACAUACUUAGGACUUAAUUUAUUAUUUUUCUAGUUUCUUAAAAUGGAAGUAGAAAUGCUUGACUUUAUGCCUUGUUUUCUCAUAUAGGUAUUAAAAUGUAUAAAUUGCCUUCUAAAGAUUGCUUUAGUUGCAUACCACAAAUAUUGAUAUGUUGUGUUUUCAUGUAUUUCUGUUCAAAAUAUAUAUUGGAAUAUCCUUUGAGAUUUCUUAGACUCAUGAAUUAUUUAGCAGUGUGUUUUUAACUUCCAAAUCUUUGGGGGGUUUUCAAAUGUAUAUUAUUUUUAUUCAUCUUCAUUAAAUUUAAUAGUUUAAUUUAUCAUCAUUGUAUUAUUUAAAUACUUUGUUUAAUUUAGGUACUUUGAAAUGUAUUGUAACUUCUUUUAUGGCCCAGGAUAUGUCUAUCUUUUUGAGUAUUUCAUGUGCACCUUAGAAGUUGUAGCUUGCUCUAGUGUGGAAUGAUUUUCUAUUAAUGUCAAUUAGCUUACAUUGAUGGUUAGUGUUGUUCAAAUCAUCCAUAACUGUACUGAUUUUUAUUUAAUUGUUUUAUCUAUUACUGAGAAAAUAGUGUUAAAAUCUAUAUUGGUGACAGUAAAUUUGCGUCUAGUUCUCUUUUGUUUUGUCAGUUUUUGUCUCAUACUUGGGAGCUUUGUAUUGGGGGUAUAAACUUUCAGUAGUCUUAUGUCUUCUUGAAUAAGUGAUUCUUUUAUCAUUAUGAAAUGCCCCAUUAAAAUCUCUGCUAGCACUA